UGUACCGCGAAACUGCGAAUGGCUCAUUAAAUCAGUUAUCGUCUAUUUGAUAGUACCUUACUACUUGGAUAACCGUGGUAAUUCUAGAGCUAAUACAUGCUGAAAACCCCGACUUCGGAAGGGAUGUAUUUAUUAGAUUAAAAACCAAUGCCCUCCGGGGCUCCCUGGUGAUUCAUGAUAACUUCUCGAAUCGCACGGCCUUGCGCCGGCGAUGGUUCAUUCAAAUUUCUGCCCUAUCAACUUUCGACGGCUGGGUCUUGGCCAGCCAUGGUGACAACGGGUAACGGAGGGUUAGGGCUCGACCCCGGAGAAGGAGCCUGAGAAACGGCUACUACAUCUAAGGAAGGCAGCAGGCGCGCAAAUUACCCAAUCCCGACGCGGGGAGGUAGUGACAAUAAAUACUGAUACAGGGCUCUUUAGGGUCGUGUAAUUGGAAUGAGUACAGUUUAAUUCCCUUAACGAGGAACAAUUGGAGGGCAAGUCUGGUGCCAGCAGCCGCGGUAAUUCCAGCUCCAAUAGCGUAUAUUAAAGUUGUUGCAGUUAAAAAGCUCGUAGUUGAACCUUGGGCCUGGCUGGCCGGUCCGCCUCACCGCGUGCACUGGUCCGGCCGGGCCUUUCCCUCUGGGGAGCCGCAUGCCCUUCACUGGGCGUGCCGGGGAACCAGGACGUUUACUUUGAAAAAAUUAGAGUGUUCAAAGCAGGCUUAUGCUCGGAUACAUUAGCAUGGAAUAAUGGAAUAGGACGUGCGGUUCUAUUUUGUUGGUUUCUAGGACCGCCGUAAUGAUUAAUAGGGACAGUCGGGGGCAUCAGUAUUCAAUUGUCAGAGGUGAAAUUCUUGGAUUUAUUGAAGACUAACUACUGCGAAAGCAUUUGCCAAGGAUGUUUUCAUUAAUCAGGAACGAAAGUUAGGGGAUCGAAGACGAUCAGAUACCGUCGUAGUCUUAACCAUAAACUAUGCCGACUAGGGAUCGGACGCUGUUGUCUUUUGACGCGUUCGGCACCUUACACGAAAGUACAAG
rnacentral:rRNA from 1 species